GUGAACCUGCGGAAGGAUNAUUG
rnacentral:rRNA from 1 species